GGUUGCAGAUAGCUAGACAGAAGAGAGCAUGUGAGGAAAAUACAAACACAGUUCAGAUUUGAGCCAGACAACGAGGGAGCGUUUAAAGGAGUAAAGCAGGGACAUCUGGAGAACUCUAUCGACUUUGAGACAAGAUGUGUUGGUUACCUGUGGACCAGCCUUUGGCUCUCUUGGGCGACUCAGCAUUUGGCCAAGGUCCCACAACAGAAGCAUGCUCUGCCACACAACUUCUCGCGUCCCGUUUAAGGACCAUCGGGGAUCAGUUGGAGAAACAACGGGCUGCAGGGGACAACAAGCGAUGCAGACAAGAAGAACAACUAAAGAGACAAAGCAGGCAUUUUAAGAGCUUUAUUUAUACAACGGUCCACCUUGCUGUCCUUGUUCUUCUGGUCCGACGGCGCCUCCUGUAGGGCACUAGGUCGACUGACAGCAACACCAGCAACAGAUGGUGCCUUCAGGACAUGCAGGGGGAACCAAGCUACCAACAAUUUGAACUUAUUAUAAAAGAUGCAAACAGGUCGGAAAGGCCGGCAAGUCUUUUUUUUUUUCUUUCUAUGAAAACAGGAAUGCAUAUUAUUUCGCUCAUCAAAACGGUUUGCUAUGUUGCGGCAUAAACUCUGAUGUUGACAACUGAAGCCAAGCAACGCUGCUGACGUCUUCGCAAACUGGCUCUGUAGGACACUUUCAUAACACGAUGAUGUCAUCCUCCCCUGAUGCAAGGAAGGGAAAACUUAACUCUACUAACUGACCUAAUACCUAUAAUCGUAUAAUACAUCCUUGCACGGAAUGGACUGGCGAUAACACCUUCGCUGGGCUUGUCUGAUCGGGAAUCGUAUAUGAAGUGUUUAUUUAUCGAUUAUUUGUAUUUAUUUCAAAGCACUUAAUGCACAUUUAGCAGACUGCAUUAGGUCGUCGUGUUGCAUUGCCCGCGACUUAUUGUAUAGCCGCUGCAAAUAAAACAAAAUUCAUGUACAUAUGCAGUCAGCCAGAACGUGUCUUGAGGUUUUUGUUUACAGUAUUGAGUGUUCAUUUGGUUGCAAGACAUUUGAUUGUUGUAAUUUCUUAAUUAUUUUACGUGCAAUUAUAGAACAGAUAAUUAAUAGAAGCAUAUUCUGUACGUUUUGUUCAUGAGGAAAAACUCAUUAUGUUCUUCUUCUCCUCCAAAUGUGUGCGACGUUGUGUUUAUACUCUUUCAUAAAUAUUUCAUAAGAAAAUUUAGUAAAAUGAAAAAUAAGUAACAGGGUUAUGUUCAUUACUCUAUACCCUUACAGGGUAAUUGGAGGUUUUAAAGGGAUAAUUUAUUUCUGUAAAUGCUUUUCUAUUAAAUAUUCAUCAAAACACUCA